rnacentral:tRNA from 1 species
GGAGAGGUGGCCGAGAGGCCGAAGGCGCUCCCCUGCUAAGGGAGUAUGGGCCAUAAGCCCAUCGCGGGUUCGAAUCCCGCCCUCUCCG